rnacentral:tRNA from 1 species
GGGGGUCUAGCUCAAAUGGUAGAGCGCUCGCUUCGCAUGCGAGAAGUACUGGGAUCGAUACCCAGGUCCUCCA